rnacentral:sRNA from 1 species
UCCUAGCCGUGACCGCAGUGAAAAGCCUUUUUUUAUGAAAUUGCAUUUUUUUCUAGGAUAAAAAGAGCGACCGCAGGAAGCUCCUUUUUAGCCUUAGAAAAAAGCAAUUUUAGGAAAAAGCUUGAAACGGAGUGCGCGAUAAGCU